UACGUGCCCAGCAAGACCAGGAGUAUAAAGAAAGUUUGUUAGUGGAUGAGGAAAAGGAGCUGAAGAAACUGGCUUAUCAGGCCUCUGAGGAAAAGCGUCAAAAGGCUAUUGAGACAAGACGUCAGCGAAUGGCUAUGUGUGAUGAACCGUCAGAUGGGGCAUUGUUAAAAUUUAAAUAUCCAGAUGGACACAUCAGCAUGAGGAAAUUCAACUUGUCUGAGUCAAUUCAGGAUUUGUUUGACUUUGUUGGACAAGAAGACAUGGCGAGUGAAAUUUUUGAGGUCCAAGAAGCUACUUCAUCAAAAUCAAUUAAGA